UCAUGAACACAGGUGAAAGACGCAGAAAUCCCCGUGUGGCCCCUGUGAGCAUGCCUACAUCAGCACAAUGAACACCAUUUUGUUUAGUUUAGAGGCAUGACCUGACAUCUUUUUGAACUGCAAGCAAACAUUUCAGCAACCAAAUUGUUUCCUCUGUAACAAACUAUUUGCUCCUGUUGGGGCAGUGCAUUAUGCACACUGACUACAGUGUCAUCUCAGUAUUUUGUCUAAGAGAAAAUCUUGAAUCAGACACCGGGGUAAUACCUCAGCCUACAGUCAAGCCUCACACCAGACUUGGCCAUUCCCUAAUGAGUUUUCAGUUUAAGCAAACAAGACAGGUCUCAGUGUUACUGGGGAAACCACAGCCUAGAAACAGAGAGUGCAGCAGCAGAGGUCUUAGCAGAGGCGCUGCAAGAUAUGAACACUGGUGCACCAUGUGCAGAAAGCUGCUGUUACCAGCCCAGUAUCCACCCGGCUGGAGUCAGCAGGAAGGAGCAUGAGCUCAGUUUUUUCUUCACACUGAAGAAUCAGGAUCUGAACUCAUUUCUGUCAUGGUUUAACAUCCUCAGCAUGUCUGAACAUCUUUCUGCACCAUUUUUAGGAUGCUGUAACCCAGCUCUCCUCGCUGCCUGGUGGUCAGAGAUUAGAGGACUAGGAUGUUUCACUGGCAGACGGCAGGGUCUUGCUUCAACAUCAAAAGCUAACUACCAUAGAUUGAUCAAGAAAUUACAGAGUGGAAGACAAAUUUUCAAUGCAUAUAUGUAAUGCCAGGAGAAUUUUCUUCAGAUUCAGCACCACAAUUUAGUACAACAGCAAAGUUCAGGGAGAAAAAAAGAUUUGCUGACAGAAAAGCCUGAACUUCUCAGCAGCAGCCCAGCUAACAUUUCCUGAAAUGGCAAUUGCACUAUAAACAGACUCACUCUGUUGGCUGUAGGGCACUGUCUCAUCUGGAAACACCCAUUUCGCAGUGGCUGCACAAUUAACAGAUAUUUCCCUAAUAAUUCACUGUCUGGAAUAUUUUGCUUUUUUUUUCAAUAAAAUUUCCUUGCCACUAAAAAGUGUACA
rnacentral:lncRNA from 1 species